rnacentral:misc_RNA from 1 species
UGUGGAAUCAUUAAAAACUUGCAAAGCAUUACAAAUUUUUUUACAUGGACUAAUUUUUUGAGUUACAAACAAAAUUAGGAUAAUAAGAUUCAAAGAAUACACAAUAAAUUUUUAUGCUCGUAAGUUUAAUUUAACAUUUUAUAAGUAGAAUUUCAUGUUAUGUAGACCAUUUUCACUAUAAAAAUGUUUCCACUUUUUCAUUAUAUUAUCAUGUUUCUAUUAAAAAAAAAAAAA